GGAAGUAAAAAUCGUAACAAG
rnacentral:rRNA from 1 species